UCUCAGAGAUCAGAGGAAGCCA
rnacentral:miRNA from 1 species